UACGUAGGGACCAAGCGUUGUCCGGAAUCAUUGGGCGUAAAGCGCGCGUAGGUGGCCAUUUAAGUCCCGCUGUGAAAGUCAGAGGCUCAACCUUUGAAAGCCGGUGGAUACUGGAUGGCUAGAGUACGGAAGAGGCGAGUGGAAUUCCUGGUGUAGCGGUGGAAUGCGCAGAUAUCAGGAGGAACACCAAUAGCGAAGGCAGCUCGCUGGGACGUUACUGACACUAAGGCGCGAAAGCGUGGGGAGCGAACAGG
rnacentral:rRNA from 1 species